AAUAAAACGAGACGAAUGACACUGGUGAACUCGAGGCAAGUUGAAAGCGUCGCUUGUAAGAAAGGCUCGUGAAACGAUUCCCUCCACGGAACGUCAAUUGCAAAAUGGAGGCAAUACGACAGUACGUCGCGUUCGGAGGGAAGAAUUUGCAUGAGCAUUGUAGAGUAUUGAGAGGUAUUACCCUUGUAACAGAUUGCAAAAACCGAAUUGAAAUAUAUAGAGCUGGGCACAGAGUCGUUUCGCGACUUUUGUCAUGUAAUUCUAGCUACAAUGAAAUCAGUCAUUUCGUGGAAACCUCCAGAAAGAUAUGGAAAAUCUGUAGAGGAUACGUAUAAGAAGGACACGUCAUCUUGAUAUUAGAGUAGUUACCAAGAUAGUAAUUUUUUAUUGCUCUUCCAAAUGCACGUUCUUGGAAUGAACGUUGUAUGAUUAUUCUGGCCAUUGGAAGCUUCUUCUACGUUUUCUGUUCGGAAAAAAUAGACGCCAUUGUGUGUCUAAACGUAAAUAAUGUUCGAACAAUGUCGAGUGAUACCGAGCGAUAUAGAGCGAUGUCGAGCUGGCGAAAUUAUUGAAUUUUGGCGCUUUUGUCAAUUGAACUUAACGGCGGAAAUUGAACUGUACUAAAGUCGAUUAUAUUAAUAAGUUUCUUGAUUUUUUGUGGUAUUGUGACCUGAAUUACACUUCCAUUGUACCAAAAAUAUUUUGUAAAUAUAAACACAAUACCAGA